rnacentral:sRNA from 1 species
AAUAUGUUAUUAAUUAUUAUAGUAUAUAAGAUUAUAAAUUUUCAAUAUAAUAUGUAUGAAAUUAAAUAUAAAUAUUUCAAAUUAUGACCCGUUACUCAGUAGAAAGUUUUCUUAAAUCUAUUUUUCACCCGUUAUAAUAUUUUUUUCAUGUAUUGAACAGUUUAUAUUCGUUUUAAAAAAUUCUAAUUAUGGAAUAUGCGAAAAAACUCUAAUUAUUUUUUUAUAAUGAUGAUAUUAUUUUUUCGCAAAAAUAGAAUCAUAUAAAGAUGAGAAGUGAAUUAUAAUAAUUAAUAAAAAAUUAAUAUGAUAAUUUAGAUAUCAAAUCUAAUUUGUUGAUUUUAAUUGGUUACUUUUUUUGAAAUUAAUAAUGUAUUUCAUUUUUCU